rnacentral:rRNA from 1 species
UACGUAGGGGACAAGCGUUGUCCGGAUUUAUUGGGCGUAAAGCGCUCGCAGGUGGUUCGAUGCGUCGUGCGUGAAAGACCCCGGCUCAACUGGGGAGGGUCGUGCGAUACGGUCGGACUGGAGGCCAGUAGGGGGAUGCGGAAUUCCGGGUGUAGUGGUGGAAUGCGUAGAGAUCCGGAGGAACACCAGCGGCGAAGGCGGCAUCCUGGACUGGUCCUGACACUCAUGAGCGAAAGCGUGGGGAGCGAUCCGG